rnacentral:rRNA from 1 species
AUUGAACGCUGGCGGCAUGCUUUACACAUGCAAGUCGAGCGGUAACAGGCCUUCGGGUGCUGACGAGUGGCGAACGGGUGAGUAAUGCAUCGGAACGUGCCCAAUCGUGGGGGAUAACGUAGCGAAAGUUACGCUAAUACCGCAUAAGCCCUGAGGGGGAAAGUGGGGGACCGCAAGGCCUCACGCGAAUGGAGCGGCCGAUGUCAGAUUAGCUAGUUGGUGGGGUAAAGGCUCACCAAGGCGACGAUCUGUAGCGGGUCUGAGAGGAUGAUCCGCCACACUGGGACUGAGACACGGCCCAGACUCCUACGGGAGGCAGCAGUGGGGAAUUUUGGACAAUGGGCGCAAGCCUGAUCCAGCCAUGCCGCGUGCGGGACGAAGGCC